CGCCUUCCCCCGCGCGUCCCGGCCGGUGGUCGGCGGCGGCGCGCACCUCGGGGCAGGGCCGCGGCAGCGGCUCCGCCGGUUUCUCCCAGGGAAGAAACCCCCAGCCGCGGGACGGGUUUCUCCGCGCCGGCCGCGGCUGUGCGGCUCUGCGGCCACAGGGGUGUGAUUGAAAAGGAAGCUGGGAAGGCGGAGGCAGAUUGUACUUCCUAUGCUGAGAAGCAUGGACGGACUCAUCCUAUACACAAUAGACAGGCAGAGGGCCCAGAAAGUGUUUUGGAAAAGAGAGAAAGACCUAAAACCUGAGAAUGUGUGGAUACCUUUGGCUAGAAAGAUGAAUAUGAGAAGAGUCUCUGAGAAACAGACAUGGCAGUAUUUCAGGGAAAAAGAAGAGGCAAAGCUUGAUGCAAGAAGAACUUUGAAACAUUUGGUAGAGCCACAUGCGACUGAUCAAAAUAUUCACCCUAAGCACACAAAACAUGAACGUUAAGAUUUGUUGGAGACAGGACUCACUUGCAGCAGAACAUGGCUUUAUCAGAACUCAGGAGACCCUUCCAAUAGAAGUUGUUCUACCAGCACAAACACUUUGAAGACCUUAAUCCACAUUUCUGCAAUAAAUGAAAAGAGUCAAGAUUCAAUGUUUUACAACCAGUUCCUCAGCGAAAGUGUGCUGCAUGACUUCAGGUAGAACACAAGUUACACACCUGCUUAACUGUUAAGGCACAACUCUCUACGCGAAUUACCCAAAACACAUGAGCGCCCGAGUCAUCACCCGCUUGUUCCAGACCUUCGGCGUUUUUCUAGCCGUGUCAGCGGCCACCCCGGCGGAUGCGGAUUUGUCUCUGACUGAGGUGCUGCUGACUGGUUCACUGCCUGGUAGAUGGUGUCUCUUAAGACCUGAUUUAACCUGAAGCAUACACUUUCUCAGGAGGUCUGCAACAGGGCUGAAGAAUUGCAAAUAUUGCAUCCUUUCCCUCCUGUCAUUUGCUUCCACACGACUGCAGUGCCUGUGCUGUGCUCUCAGCUCACUCACCCUGAAAUGCUCCUUGUGAUGGAGAUUUGUACUGAGUUGGUACAAAGUGGACUUUGCUUUUGGUGGCAGUAUCCCUUGUUGCCAUGUCAUUCACGGAGAAGAUGGGUUUAUCCUUGCGUUUAUUCUACUGGUACCAGCUGCUCUACACACAGGAACCAAAAGUGGCAAAUCUACAUCCUCUUUCAAUUUUCAAUUGAAGGUCUACACCACAGGAACUUCUUGGGGUUUUUGAAGAGGUAAAGAUUUUUAAAAAAAAAAAAAAAAAGCAAAAAAACAACAAAACACCACGUUGAACCCAAGUUGGAGAAACAACUGCAUCAUGUGCCUGAUACAGUGCAUGGGAGUACAAAGCAUUCCCAUUCCAUCUGGUCUUGCACAUCCACUCCCCCUAGCUAUUAAAUGUGAUAGCUGUUAGGCAUGAGUGUAGACCCGGAGAUGGGCAGGACUAGUCUGCCGUGCAAACAGUUAUCUGAUGGCCCCAUCCUAUUUUCUAGAAAAAAAAGAUUUCACUGUGAUAAAGUGGACAUCUUAAAGCAUUGUAGGAGAUAGGGGGAUGUAACUGCACUUAACCUGAGUUUGGAUUAGGCAUAUCUCACGUCUUAGAGUUUGCCAGUAAAUAACAAAGUAUAUGAUCAAUGGAAAUAUGACCUUCCCAAUCUGUAACUACAAAAAAGAAAAGGACAGUCUUGAAAAUCCAGCAAUCUUUCAAAUCAUCUUAAAGCGUAUUGACCCUGAAUCAUCACAGUGAAAUUCAAUAGGGGUGUUCCUAUUAGUGACCUAAGAAUAUAGAUGUGGUUGAAUGCAUGGAAAACUGUAUCUUGUUCCAGUUAUCUUUAUUACUGUAAUAAAUGAUACUAACUCCCUCUCCCUA